rnacentral:rRNA from 1 species
GACGAACGCUGGCGGCGUGCUUAACACAUGCAAGUCGAACGGAAAGGCCCUGCUUUUGUGGGGUGCUCGAGUGGCGAACGGGUGAGUAACACGUGAGUAACCUGCCCUUGACUUUGGGAUAACUUCAGGAAACUGGGGCUAAUACCGGAUAGGAGCUCCUGCUGCAUGGUGGGGGUUGGAAAGUUUCGGCGGUUGGGGAUGGACUCGCGGCUUAUCAGCUUGUUGGUGGGGUAGUGGCUUACCAAGGCUUUGACGGGUAGCCGGCCUGAGAGGGUGACCGGCCACAUUGGGCCGGAGAUACGGCCCGGACUCCUCCGGGAGGCAGCAGUGGGGAAUAUGGUACAAUGGGCGGAAGCCUGAUGCAGCAACGCCGCGUGCGGGAUGACGGCCUUCGGGUUGUAAACCGCUUUCGCCUGUGACGAAGCGUGAGUGACGGUAAUGGGUAAAGAAGCACCGGCUACCUACGU